GCCUCCGUAGCUCAACGGAUAGAGCACUGGUCUUCGGAACCAGGAAUAGGGGUUCGAUUCCUCUCGGAGGCG
rnacentral:tRNA from 1 species